UAGUCGCUGCCGCCGUAUGA
rnacentral:misc_RNA from 1 species